rnacentral:rRNA from 1 species
AUGGGCCCACAGUUCUUGCGGGAGGGCAUUCUAUUGGCCAAUUUAUGCACGAUUUGGGGUUUUUCUUUGGUCCCAAUCAAUGUCUUCCUGUAGUGGAGAAGGCAUUCAGGGUCGUAAAGGGUCUUUCGUCAGGUGAACAAACAGUUUAGGCUAAUCAUCCCGCAGCUAAAUGACGGUACUGGAAGAAUCAGCUCAGGCUUUAUACGUUCCAGCAGCCGCGCUAAUACGUCGGGUGCAAGCGUUAAUCAGGAUUACUGAGCGUAAAGCGUGCGCAGGCGGUUGUGUAAGUCUGUUGUGAAAUCCCCGGGCUUAACCUGGGAAUGGCAAUGGAGACUGCAAGGCUAGAGUUUGGCAGAGGGGGGUAGAAUUCCACGUGUAGCAGUGAAAUGCGUAGAGAUGUGGAGGAACACCGAUGGCGAAGGCAGCCCCCUGGGUCAAGACCGACUCUCAUGCACGAAAGCGUGGGGAGCAAACAGGAUUAGAUACCCUGGUAGUCCACGCCCUAAACGAUGUCUACUAGAUGUCGGGUCUUAAUUGACUUGGUAACGCAGCUAACGCGUGAAGUAGUCCGCCUGGGGAGUACGGUCGCAAGAUUAAAACUCAAAGGAAUUGACGGGGACCCGCACAAGCGGUGGAUGAUGUGGAUUAAUUCGAUGCAACGCGAAAAACCUUACCUACCCUUGACAUGGCAGGAAUCCUGAAGAGAUUUGGGAGUGCUCGAAAGAGAACCUGCACACAGGUGCUGCAUGGCUGUCGUCAGCUCGUGUCGUGAGAUGUUGGGUUAAGUCCCGCAACGAGCGCAACCCUUGUCAUUAGUUGCUACGAAAGAGCACUCUAAUGAGACUGCCGGUGACAAACCGGAGGAAGGUGGGGAUGACGUCAAGUCCUCAUGGCCCUUAUGGGUAGGGCUUCACACGUCAUACAAUGGUACAUACAGAGGGCCGCCAACCCGCGAGGGGGAGCUAAUCCCAGAAAGUGUAUCGUAGUCCGGAUUGUAGUCUGCAACUCGACUGCAUGAAGUUGGAAUCGCUAGUAAUCGCGGAUCAGCAUGUCGCGGGGAAUACGUUCCCGGGUCUUGUACACACCGCCCGUCACACCAUGGGAGCGGGUUUUACCAGAAGUAGGUAGCUUAACCGCAAGGAGGGCGCUACCACAGUAGGAUUCGAAUGGU